AGACUGCAAGUCGAACGAUUAAAGCUUUCUUCGGAAAGUGUAUAGAGUGGCGUACGGGAGAGUAACACGUAAGUAAUCUACCCUUAGGUGGGGAGUAACUUAGGGAAACUUAAGCUAAUACCCCAUAAUGCAGCGGCUCCAUAUGGAGACAGUUGUUAAAGCAUUUAUGUGCCUAAGGAGGAGCUUGCGGCAGAUUAGCUAGUUGGUAAGGUAACGGCUUACCAAGGCGACGAUCUGUAGCCGGUCUAAGAGGACGGUCGGUCUCACUGACACUGAAUAACGGGUCAGACUCCUACGGGAGGCAGCAGUCGGGAAUUUUGGGCAAUGGGCGAAAGCCUGACCCAGCAACGCCGCGUGAAGGAUGAAGUCUUUCGGGAUGUAAACUUCGAAAUUAUAGGAAGAAUCAAUGACGGUACUAUAAGUAAGCUCCGGCUAACUACGUGCCAGCAGCCGCGGUAAUACGUAGGGAGCAAGCGUUGUUCGGAUUUACUGGGCGUAAAGGGUGCGUAGGCGGCGCGACAAGUCACUUGUGAAAUCUCCGGGCUUAACUCGGAACGGCCAAGUGAUACUGUUGUGCUAGAGUGCAGGAAGGGCAACUGGAAUUCUUGGUGUAGCGGUGAAA
rnacentral:rRNA from 1 species